rnacentral:rRNA from 1 species
GACGAACGCUGGCGGCGUGCUUAACACAUGCAAGUCGAGCGGUAAGGCCCUUUCGGGGGUACACGAGCGGCGAACGGGUGAGUAACACGUGGGUGACCUGCCCUCAGCUCUGGGAUAAGCCUGGGAAACCGGGUCUAAUACCGGAUAUGACUCCACGACGCAUGUUGUGGGGUGGAAAGCCUUGUGCGGCUGAGGAUGGGCCCGCGGCCUAUCAGCUUGUUGGUGGGGUGANGGCCUACCAAGGCGACGACGGGUAGCCGGCCUGAGAGGGCGACCGGCCACACUGGGACUGAGACACGGCCCAGACUCCUACGGGAGGCAGCAGUGGGGAUCUUGCGCAAUGGGCGAAAGCCUGACGCAGCGACGCCGCGUGA